UACGUAGGGUGCAAGCGUUAAUCGGAAUUACUGGGCGUAAAGCGUGCGCAGGCGGUUAUGUAAGACAGAUGUGAAAUGCCCGGGCUUAACCUGGGAACUGCAUUUGUGACUGCAUGGCUAGAGUUGGCAGAGGGGGUAGAAUUCACGUGUAGCAGUGAAAUGACGUAGAUAUGUGGAGGAACACCGAUGGCGAAGGCAGCCCCCUGGGCUAACACUGACGCUCAG
rnacentral:rRNA from 1 species